rnacentral:tRNA from 1 species
GUACCGUUAGUUCAGUGUAAGAACGCCGAUGCCAAGUCGGAGGUCACAGGUUCAAUUCCUGUACGGUACA